GUGUCAGCAGCCGCGGUAAGACGAACCGUGCGAACGUUGUUCGGAAUCACUGGGCUUAAAGGGCGCGUAGGCGGGUUUUCAAGUCUGUGGUGAAAGCCUCCAGCUUAACUGGAGAAGUGCCGUGGAUACUGGAGACCUCGAGGAGGGUAGGGGCAUCUGGAACAGCCGGUGGAGCGGUGAAAUGCGUUGAUAUCGGCUGGAACUCCGAUGGCGAAGGCAAGGUGCUGGACCCUCUCUGACGCUGAGGCGCGAAAGCCAGGGGAGCGAACGGGAUUAGAAACCCCAGUAGUCC
rnacentral:rRNA from 1 species